rnacentral:rRNA from 1 species
GGACUCGGGGGUCUAUCAUGCAAGUCGAACGCACAGCGAAAGGUGCUUGCACCUUUCAGUGAGUGGCGAACGGGUGAGUAACACGUGGACAACCUGCCUCAAGGCUGGGGAUAACAUUUGGAAACAGAUGCUAAUACCGAAUAAAACUUAGUGUCGCAUGACACAAAGUUAAAAGGCGCUUCGGCGUCACCUAGAGAUGGAUCCGCGGUGCAUUAGUUAGUUGGUGGGGUAAAGGCCUACCAAGACAAUGAUGCAUAGCCGAGUUGAGAGACUGAUCGGCCACAUUGGGACUGAGACACGGCCCAAACUCCUACGGGAGGCUGCAGUAGGGAAUCUUCCACAAUGGGCGAAAGCCUGAUGGAGCAACGCCGCGUGUGUGAUGAAGGCUUUCGGGUCGUAAAGCACUGUUGUAUGGGAAGAACAGCUAGAAUAGGAAAUGAUUUUAGUUUGACGGUACCAUACCAGAAAGGGACGGCUAAAUACGUGCCAGCAGCCGCGGUAAUACGUAUGUCCCGAGCGUUAUCCGGAUUUAUUGGGCGUAAAGCGAGCGCAGACGGUUUAUUAAGUCUGAUGUGAAAGCCCGGAGCUCAACUCCGGAAUGGCAUUGGAAACUGGUUAACUUGAGUGCAGUAGAGGUAAGUGGAACUCCAUGUGUAGCGGUGGAAUGCGUAGAUAUAUGGAAGAACACCAGUGGCGAAGGCGGCUUACUGGACUGCAACUGACGUUGAGGCUCGAAAGUGUGGGUAGCAAACAGGAUUAGAUACCCUGGUAGUCCACACCGUAAACGAUGAACACUAGGUGUUAGGAGGUUUCCGCCUCUUAGUGCCGAAGCUAACGCAUUAAGUGUUCCGCCUGGGGAGUACGACCGCAAGGUUGAAACUCANAGGAAUA